GAGUUUGAUCAUGGCUCAGGGUGAACGCUAGCGGCGCGCCUAACACAUGCAAGUCGAGCGAUCGGCGUCGGUGAAGUUCCUUCGGGGAUGGAACUGACGUACGGAGCGGCGAACGGGUGAGUAACACGUAGCUAACCUGCCCCCGCGACGGGGAUAACCCUUCGAAAGGAGGGCUAAUACCCGAUGGUCUUCCUGGAGCGUGAGCUCGGGGAAGUAAAGGCGCUUCGGCGCCACGUGGGGAGGGGGCUGCGGCCCAUCAGCUUGUUGGCGGGGUAACGGCCCACCAAGGCGAUGACGGGUAGGGGGCCUGAGAGGGUGGCCCCCCACAUGGGGACUGAGAUACGGCCCUGACUCCUACGGGAGGCAGCAGUGGGGGAUCUUGGGCAAUGCCGGAAACGGUGACCCAGCGACGCCGCGUGGGGGACGAAGCCCUUCGGGGUGUAAACCCCUUUUCUGGGGGAAGAAUAAGGCGGGGAGGGAAUGUCCCGCCGAUGACGGUACCCCAGGAAUAAGCCCCGGCUAACUACGUGCCAGCAGCCGCGGUAAGACGUAGGGGGCGAGCGUUACCCGGAUUUACUGGGCGUAAAGGGCGCCUAGGCGGUUCGGCAAGUCGUCUGUGAAAGUCCCUGGCUCAACUGGGGGAGGUCGGACGAAACUGUCGGGCUAGAGGGAGGCAGAGGAAGGUGGAACGGCCGGAGUAGCGGUGAAAUGCGUAGAUACCGGCCGGUACCCCGAUGGCGAAGGCAACCUUCUGGGCCGUCCCUGACGCUGAAGCGCGAAAGCGUGGGGAGCAAACCGGAUUAGAUACCCGGGUAGUCCACGCCCUAAACGAUGUGGGCUAGGUGUCGGGCGAGCAGUCGCUCGGUGCCGCAGCUAACGCGUUAAGCCCACCGCCUGGGUAGUACGGCCGCAAGGCUGAACUCAAGGGAAUUGACGGGGCCCCGCACGAGCGGUGAGCAUGUGGUUUAAUUCGAUGCUAAACGAAGAACCUUACCCGGGUUUGACAUGCUGGUGGUACCGACCCGAAAGGAAGGGACCCAGGCCUUCGGGCGUUUGGGAACCAGCACAGUGGCUGCAUGGCUGUUCGUCAGCU
rnacentral:rRNA from 1 species